rnacentral:misc_RNA from 1 species
GAAGUGCUGAAAAUAGCAAGUCAGAAUGUGGAUGUUUUGUCAUCCUCUCCAAAAUCUCCCAAAGGCUCACUUCCUGAAUAUCAUAUAAAAGCCCCUGCUGGUGGGAAGGUUUCGGCACCUGGAGUUGGUGUGAAGCACGUGCGUAGAUCUCACUCUGGGAAGUAUAUUAGGGUGAAAAAGGAUGGGGCUGGUGGUAAGGGCACCUGGGGUAAAUUACUUGACACUGACGGUGACUCUCAUAUUGACAGAAAUGAUCCUAACUAUGACAGUGGCGAGGAACCAUAUCAACUUGUUGGGUCGACUGUAUCAGACCCCUUGGAUGAUUAUAAGAAAUCUGUUGUAUCCAUUAU